UGUGAGGUGGCUCAGAGGGUAGAGUGCCUGCCUUGUGAGCAGGCGAUCCCAAGUUCAAUUCUCUCAA
rnacentral:tRNA from 1 species